rnacentral:rRNA from 1 species
AUUGAACGUUGGCGGCAUGCUUUACACAUGCAAGUCGGACGGUAACAGGUUAAGCUGACGAGUGGCGAACGGGUGAGUAAUGCAUCGGAACGUGCCCGGUCGUGGGGGAUAACGCAGCGAAAGCUGCGCUAAUACCGCAUACGAUCUAAGGAUGAAAGCGGGGGACCGUAAGGCCUCGCGCGAUCGGAGCGGCCGAUGUCAGAUUAGGUAGUGGGUGGGGUAAAGGCGCACCAAGCCAACGAUCUGUAGCUGGUCUGAGAGGGCGACCAGCCACACUGGGACUGAGACACGGCCCAGACUCCUACGGGAGGCAGCAGUGGGGAAUUUUGGACAAUGGGCGAAAGCCUGAUCCAGCAAUGCCGCGUGCAGGAAGAAGGCCUUCGGGUUGUAAACUGCUUUUGUACGGAGCGAAAAGGUCUCCUCUAAUACAGGGGGCUCAUGACGGUACCGUAAGAAUAAGCACCGGCUAACUACGUGCCAGCCGCCGCCGUAC